rnacentral:rRNA from 1 species
AUCUGUAAGUCAGUGGUAAAAUCUCAUAGCUUAACUAUGAAACUGCCAUUGAUACUGCAGGUCUUGAGUAAGGUAGAAGUGGCGGGAAUAAGUAGUGUAGCGGUGAAAUGCAUAGAUAUUACUUAGAACACCAAUUGCGAAGGCAGGUCACUAUGUUUUAACUGACGCUGAUGGACGAAAGCGUGGGGAGCGAACAGGAUUAGAUACCCUGGUAGUCCCCGCCGUAAACGAUGCUAACUCGUUUUUGGGUUUUCGGAUUCAGAGACUAAGCGAAAGUGAUAAGUUAGCCACCUGGGGAGUACGUUCGCAAGAAUGAAACUCAAAGGAAUUGACGGGGGCCCGCACAAGCGGUGGAUUAUGUGGUUUAAUUCGAUGAUACGCGAGGAACCUUACCAAGGCUUAAAUGGGAAUUGACAGGUUUAGAAAUAGACUUUUCUUCGGACAAUUUUCAAGGUUCUGCAUGGUUGUCGUCAGCUCGUGCCGUGAGGUGUUAGGUUAAGUCCUGCAACGAGCGCAACCCCUGUCACUAGUUGCCAUCAUUCAGUUGGGGACUCUAGUGAGACUGCCUACGCAAGUAGAGAGGAAGGUGGGGAUGACGUCAAAUCAUCACGGCCCUUACGCCUGGGGCCACACACGUAAUACAAUGGCCGGUACAGAGGGCAGCUACCUAGCGAUAGGAUGCGAAUCUCGAAAGCCGGUCUCAGUUCGGAUGGGAGGCUGCAA